rnacentral:sRNA from 1 species
UGGGUGUGAGGAGCGGGGACCUGAGUGGGUAGGACUCGGGAGAAACCCUGGGGGAGUAAGCGGCUUUUGGCAGCUGCGGCCCUCGGACCCUGCCCCGAGUGCAGAAAUGGGGAACCAUGCCGGCCUCUCUGCCCAGCGCAAUGGGCGGAACUGAAGCCCCGAGGGGAAGCUUUGUAUUGGGGGUGCAGUUGAAGGCGGUUAAUGGUGAAGCCAUUCUGAGUUUGUGUGUUGACUCUGUUUGCUGAGGCUAAACACUAUCAUGCCAAGUUGGUGAAUAUAAGAAAAGAGAUGCUGAUGCUUCAUGAAAAAACAUCAAAGUUAAAAAAAAGAGCACUUAAACUGCAGCAGAAGAGGCAAAAAGAAGAGUUGGAAAGGGAGCAGCAACGAGAGAAGGAGUUUGAAAGAGAAAAGCAGUUAACUGCCAGACCAGCCAAAAGGACGUGAAAAGCUGUGUUUGUGUGUUUUCUUCUCCUGUCCCAUAUUUGGGUUAUGAUGACUCAAGUGUAGACUGAAGUUGAGGUAGUGCCUUACGCCAUUAUGUCAUAUGUUGAAAUCCUUAUUCCGGUAUUACUUUGUCUCCAUGCCUUUUUUCCAAGUAGCAGACGUCAUGUUGCUUGGUUUU